rnacentral:lncRNA from 1 species
ACCUGGCAUUACAAAGAAUUUGUUUCUGGCAAGUUCUGCUGGUACAGUACUACAGUGAUUGCUUUGUCAUAAAAUGAGCCACUGUUCUAGGUUCUAAAUGUCGUUCCUGUGGGAACUCUCAGGAGUUCUGUCUCAACUCUAGAGGAGAGAAUUUGGACACAGGCAUGCAUACGGGGAGAACAUCGUGCAUACAGGGAGAACAUCAUGCAUAUGUGAAGACAGCCAUUUACCAGUCGGGGAAAGUAGCCUGGAACAGAGUUUCUCUUCGGAGCACUCAGAGGCAACCCUGUCAAUAUCUCGAUUUCAGACUUCUGGC